rnacentral:lncRNA from 1 species
AAAAAAAAAACUUUCAUGGUUUAGUUAAAUGACAUCCAGUCCUCAAACAAUAUGUUCAAAUUUCAGUUCUCAUAGUAUACCAACUGUGCAUCAAGUACCAACUUCUCUGUUGCUACCUCUUCAACCCACAAAUCACUACAUAAACAGCAUAUUGACAUUAUGAGCAGUAAACAGGCAUAUCACUUCCUUCAAACUCUGGUGGUGAUUGGUUACUGUGAAUGCUAUUUAAUUCAUGGAAAGUGUGAAGUCAUAGGUUUUAUAAUCUUUCAUCAUCGACAAACUUAUGGUGAAAUUUUAUGAAGACUGAUUCUUGAAAGAGAGGAUUGGCUAGUCAAAUGAAAGACCAGCAAAGAAAGAAAAAGCUGAAUGUAAAUGUGGUUGCAAAAGGAACUGCUGACAGCUGGAUCACUGAAGCUCACGCCAUUGGGAAGAUUGUAGAGGUGUGUGAAGGAACUGAAAAAGGGGACUUAUUAACAUGCAUAAAGAAAGUAGCUUGAUGCGAAAGAAGAUGUCCCAGACGAAGUGAUACUGGCAUAAAACUUGAUGUUAAAAGAACAGUUGGCAACAUUUCAUGACAUUAGAAGUACAAAGAUGAAUUUGUGGAAGCUGAUCCAAUCAUGAAGAAUGUGACAAAGCACAGAAUUGGUGUCUAGACUGUACUCUGUUAUGUCUGGAAGUAGAAGCCAGGCACUAAUCACACCAGCUUUCAUAAGAAUACCUUACAUAGGACUGAAAGAGAAACCCAUUAAUUUGUAUGAUUAAUAAAUAUUAAUUAAAACACAGCACUUAAUUCUCAGUAUUUCUAAGCAACUUAGAGUGAGUCAAAUAUCAGUUUUACCUUUUAAAAAGUUCUCUAUUUAUAACUGAUACAAGAGAGUUUUAAAUAUUUUGACAAAAAAUUGUGAAUAAAGAGCAAUCAUAAUUUUUCCAAAUAAUUUUUAGGAUCAAUUUCAGCUUACAUAGUCAUUUUUUUAUGGCUUGCACUACUGUACAAAGCAAGAACUUCCUGUACUUACAUAUGAAAUGCUAUUUUACUCAUCGUUAGCAUGGGAUAUAAAGAUUCCAUUUUUCAACAACUGGAAGUGUCCUCCUUCAU